GAUGAACGCUGGCGGCGUGCCUAAUACAUGCAAGUCGAACGCAUAGCGAAAGGUGCUUGCACCUUUCAAGUGAGUGGCGAACGGGUGAGUAACACGUGGACAACCUGCCUCAAGGCUGGGGAUAACAUUUGGAAACAGAUGCUAAUACCGAAUAAAACUUAGUGUCGCAUGACACAAAGUUAAAAGGCGCUUCGGCGUCACCUAGAGAUGGAUCCGCGGUGCAUUAGUUAGUUGGUGGGGUAAAGGCCUACCAAGACAAUGAUGCAUAGCCGAGUUGAGAGACUGAUCGGCCACAUUGGGACUGAGACACGGCCCAAACUCCUACGGGAGGCUGCAGUAGGGAAUCUUCCACAAUGGGCGAAAGCCUGAUGGAGCAACGCCACGUGUGUGAUGAAGGCUUUCGGGUCGUAAAGCACUGUUGUAUGGGAAGAACAGCUAGAAUAGGAAAUGAUUUUAGUUUGACGGUACCAUACCAGAAAGGGACGGCUAAAUACGUG
rnacentral:rRNA from 1 species